rnacentral:rRNA from 1 species
CCUACGGGCGGCAGCAGUGGGGAAUAUUGCGCAAUGGGCGAAAGCCUGACGCAGCGACGCCGCGUGAGGGAUGAAGGUCUUCGGAUCGUAAACCUCUGUCAGCAGGGAAGAACGGUCGCUGUGCUAAUCAGAAGUGACUUGACGGUACCUGCAAAGGAAGCACCGGCUAACUCCGUGCCAGCAGCCGCGGUAAUACGGAGGGUGCGAGCGUUAAUCGGAAUUACUGGGCGUAAAGCGCUCGUAGGCGGUAUGUCAAGUCAAGGGUGAAAUCCCCGCGCUCAACGUGGGAACUGCCUUUGAAACUGUCAAACUGGAGUGUGUGAGAGGAGAGUGGAAUUCCAGAUGUAGGAGUGAAAUCCGUAGAUAUCUGGAGGAACAUCAGUGGCGAAGGCGACUAUCUGGCACAUAACUGACGCUGAGGAGCGAAAGCGUGGGUAGCAAACAGGAUUAGAUACCCGAGUAGUC